GACGAACGCUGGCGGCGUGCUUAACACAUGCAAGUCGAACGGAAAGGCCCUGCUUUUGUGGGGUGCUCGAGUGGCGAACGGGUGAGUAACACGUGAGUAACCUGCCCUUGACUUUGGGAUAACUUCAGGAAACUGGGGCUAAUACCGGAUAGGAGCUCCUGCUGCAUGGUGGGGGUUGGAAAGUUUCGGCGGCUGGGGAUGGACUCGCGGCUUAUCAGCUUGUUGGUGGGGUAGUGGCUUACCAAGGCUUUGACGGGUAGCCGGCCUGAGAGGGUGACCGGCCACAUUGGGACUGAGAUACGGCCCAGACUCCUACGGGAGGCAGCAGUGGGGAAUAUUGCACAAUGGGCGGAAGCCUGAUGCAGCAACGCCGCGUGCGGGAUGACGGCCUUCGGGUUGUAAACCGCUUUCGCCUGUGACGAAGCGUGAGUGACGGUAAUGGGUAAAGAAGCACCGGCUAACUACGUGCCAGCAGCCGCGGUGAUACGUAUGGUGCGAGCGUUGUCCGGAUUUAUUGGGCGUAAAGGGCUCGUAGGUGGUUGAUCGCGUCGGAAGUGUAAUCUUGGGGCUUAACCCUGAGCGUGCUUUCGAUACGGGUUGACUUGAGGAAGGUAGGGGAGAAUGGAAUUCCUGGUGGAGCGGUGGAAUGCGCAGAUAUCAGGAGGAACACCAGUGGCGAAGGCGGUUCUCUGGGCCUUUCCUGACGCUGAGGAGCGAAAGCGUGGGGAGCGAACAGGCUUAGAUACCCUGGUAGUCCACGCUGUAAACGGUGGGUACUAGGUGUGGGGUCCAUUCCACGGGUUCCGUGCCGUAGCUAACGCUUUAAGUACCCCGCCUGGGGAGUACGGCCGCAAGGCUAAAACUCAAAGGAAUUGACGGGGCCCCGCACAAGCGGCGGAGCAUGCGGAUUAAUUCGAUGCAACGCGUAGAACCUUACCUGGGUUUGACAUGGAUCGGGAGUGCUCAGAGAUGGGUGUGCCUCUUUUGGGGUCGGUUCACAGGUGGUGCAUGGCUGUCGUCAGCUCGUGUCGUGAGAUGUUGGGUUAAGUCCCGCAACGAGCGCAACCCUUGUUCACUGUUGCCAGCACGUUAUGGUGGGGACUCAGUGGAGACCGCCGGGGUCAACUCGGAGGAAGGUGGGGAUGACGUCAAGUCAUCAUGCCCCUUAUGUCCAGGGCUUCACGCAUGCUACAAUGGCUGGUACAGAGAGUGGCGAGCCUGUGAGGGUGAGCGAAUCUCGGAAAGCCGGUCUCAGUUCGGAUUGGGGUCUGCAACUCGACCUCAUGAAGUCGGAGUCGCUAGUAAUCGCAGAUCAGCAACGCUGCGGUGAAUACGUUCCCGGGGCU
rnacentral:rRNA from 1 species